GGGUCAGUAGGUUGGUCGUGCCACCGGUACGUACUGGUCUCACUGAUUCCUCCUUCCUGAAGAACCGUAAUGCCAUUAAUUUGGUGUUGCGGGGAAACAGGACUGUUACUUUGAAAAGAUUAGAGUGUUUAAAGCAAGCUAACGCUUGAAUACAUUAGCAUAGAAUAAUGAAAUAGGACGAUCGAUCCUAUUUUGUUGGUUUCUAGGAUUGACGUA
rnacentral:rRNA from 1 species